UCUCCCUUGGAUCUUUUUGCGGUCUGGGCUUGCUGUUCCUCUAAUCAGUAGUCAGGAAGCCCUUACCCCAAAAAGUAUCUGCGAGAGACC
rnacentral:pre_miRNA from 1 species